GACUAGACAAUGCCACUAUAUAUGGUCUAUCGAUAAUAUUGAAGCAUGUGAUGUAUGUGUAUCUAUAUUGCAAGUCGAAGGACAUGAAAGAAACUAGCUUUUUGAUUCUUUCACAUGUCUAGCAUUUUCUUGAUUUCGACCUUCUCUAUUUUCUUGUACUUUCUCAUCACCCUUUUUAGAAAGGGCCUGAAACAAUGUUCAUAUGGCUCGUAAUGGUUUGAUCCGAUAUAAUAAAGUGGCGUUUAUGUGUUCUCGAU
rnacentral:lncRNA from 1 species